UCACACUGUCUCCAGCGAGUUGAGGUUUGC
rnacentral:piRNA from 1 species